rnacentral:rRNA from 1 species
GACGAACGCUGGCGGCGUGCCUAAUACAUGCAAGUCGAACGCAGUGGGGACGGGUGAGUAACACGUGGGUAACCUCCCAUCAGAGGGGAUAACACUUGGAAACAGGUGCUAAACCGAUACUGAUGGAUGGACCCGCGGGGCAUUAGCUAGUUGGUGAGGUAACGGCUCACCAAGGCCACGAUGCAUAGCCGCACUGAGAGGGUGAUCGGCCACACUGGGACUGAGACACGGCCCAGACUCCUACGGGAGGAAGCAGUGGGGAAUCUUCGGCAAUGGGCGAAAGCCUGACCGAGCAACGCCGCGUGAGUGAAGAAGGUUUUCGGAUCGUAAAACUCUGUUGUUAGAGAAGCGGUAUCUAACCAGAAAGCCACGGCUAACUACGUGCCAGCAGCCGCGGUAAUUU